rnacentral:rRNA from 1 species
GAGCAACGCCGCGUGGAGGAUGACGGUUUUCGGAUUGUAAACUCCUUUUCUCAGGGAAGAGUGAGGACGGUACCUGAGGAAUAAGUCACGGCUAACUACGUGCCAGCAGCCGCGGUAAUACGUAGGUGGCAAGCGUUAUCCGGAAUUACUGGGCGUAAAGCGCACGCAGGUGGCUGCUUAAGUCUGACGUGAAAGCUCCUGGCUUAACUGGGAGAGGUCGUUGGAGACUGGGCGGCUUGAGGCGAGGAGAGGGGUGUAGAAUUCCCGGUGUAGUGGUGGAAUGCGUAGAGAUCGGGAGGAAUACCAGUGGCGAAAGCGGCACCCUGGCCUUGGCCUGACGCUCAGGUGCGAAAGCGUGGGGAGCGAACGGGAUUAGAUACCCCCGGUAGUCCACGCGGUAAACGAUGAAUACUAGGUGUAGGUGGUUUCAAAACUAUCUGUACCGCAGCUAACGCGAUAAGUAUUCCGCCUGGGGAGUACGACCGCAAGGUUAAAACUCAAAGGAAUUGAC